rnacentral:misc_RNA from 1 species
UUUCCGUAGGUGAACCUGCGGAAGGAUCAUUACAGAGGUUUUAUCCUUUUAUUGUGAAUUUUGUAUCUGGUGUGUAUGUGUAAAAACGAGUGCGAAGCACGAGUUGUGAAAGCAAUAUUGUGAAAGCAACGUGCCGAAACAUUCGUCUCAUAUACAUACGCACCGAUUUUUACACCAUAUAACGUCUGAAGAAAAGAAAUGAAAAACUUUCAACAAUGGAUCUCUUGGCUCUGGCAUCGAUGAAGAACGCAGC